rnacentral:rRNA from 1 species
AUGCCGCGUGAACGAUGAAGUAUUUCGGUACGUAAAGUUCUUUUAUUAGGGAAGAAAAGAUGGUGGAAAAACCAUUAUGACGGUACCUAAUGAAUAAGCCCCGGCUAACUAUGUGCCAGCAGCCGCGGUAAUACAUAGGGGGCAAGCGUUAUCCGGAAUUAUUGGGCGUAAAGGGUGCGUAGGCGGUUAAAUAAGUUUAUGGUCUAAGUGCAACGCUCAACGUUGUGAUGCUAUAAAAACUGUUUAGCUAGAGUUGGAUAGAGGCAAGUGGAAUUCCGUGUGUAGUGGUAAAAUGCGUAAAUAUACGGAGGAACACCAGAAGCGAAGGCGGCUUGCUGGGUCUUAACUGACGCUGAGGCACGAAAGCGUGGGGAGCAAACAGGAUUAGAUACCCUGGUAGUCCACGCCCUAAACGAUGAGUACUAAACGUUGGAUAAAACCAGUGUUGAAGUUAACACAUUAAGUACUCCGCCUGAGUAGUACGUACGCAAGUAUGAAACUUAAAGGAAUUGACGGGACUCCGCACAAGCGGUGGAUCAUGUUGUUUAAUUCGAAGGUACCCGAAAAACCUCACCAGGUCUUGACAUGCUUUUGCAAAGCUGUAGAAAUACAGUGGAGGUUAUCAGAAGCACAGGUGGUGCAUGGUUGUCGUCAGCUCGUGUCGUGAGAUGUUGGGUUAAGUCCCGCAACGAGCGCAACCCUUGUUGUUAAUUGCCAUCAUUAAGUUGGGGACUUUAGCAAGACUGCCAAUGAUAAAUUGGAGGAAGGUGGGGACGACGUCAAAUCAUCAUGCCCCUUAUGACCUGGGCUACAAACGUGAUACAAUGGCUGUUACAAAGGGUAGCUAAAGCGUAAGCUU